rnacentral:rRNA from 1 species
UACGAAGGGGGCUAGCGUUGCUCGGAAUUACUGGGCGUAAAGCGCACGUAGGCGGCUCUUUAAGUCGGGGGUGAAAUCCUGGAGCUCAACUCCAGAACUGCCUUCGAUACUGAAGAGCUUGAGUCCGGGAGAGGUGAGUGGAACUGCGAGUGUAGAGGUGAAAUUCGUAGAUAUUCGCAAGAACACCAGUGGCGAAGGCGGCUCACUGGCCCGGUACUGACGCUGAGGUGCGAAAGCGUGGGGAGCAAACGGG